rnacentral:rRNA from 1 species
GAUGAACGCUGGCGGCGUGCCUAAUACAUGCAAGUCGAGCGAACAGACGAGGAGCUUGCUCCUCUGACGUUAGCGGCGGACGGGUGAGUAACACGUGGAUAACCUACCUAUAAGACUGGGAUAACUUCGGGAAACCGGAGCUAAUACCGGAUAAUAUAUUGAACCGCAUGGUUCAAUAGUGAAAGACGGUCUUGCUGUCACUUAUAGAUGGAUCCGCGCCGCAUUAGCUAGUUGGUAAGGUAACGGCUUACCAAGGCAACGAUGCGUAGCCGACCUGAGAGGGUGAUCGGCCACACUGGAACUGAGACACGGUCCAGACUCCUACGGGAGGCAGCAGUAGGGAAUCUUCCGCAAAGGGCGAAAGCUUGACGGAGCAACGCCGCGUGAGUGAUGAAGGUCUUCGGAUCGUAAAACUCUGUUAUUAGGGAAGAACAAAUGUGUAAGUAACUAUGCACGUCUUGACGGUACCUAAUCAGAAAGCCACGGCUAACUACGUG